rnacentral:rRNA from 1 species
GACGAACGCUGGCGGCGUGCUUAACACAUGCAAGUCGAACGGUGAAGCGCCUUCCUUUUUGGUGGGUGUGGAUGAGUGGCGAACGGGUGAGUAACACGUGAGUAACCUGCCCCCUUCUUCUGGAUAACCGCAUGAAAGUGUGGCUAAUACGGGAUAUUCUGGGUCUGUCGCAUGAUGGGUCUGGGAAAGAUAUUGUUUCGGUGGGGGAUGGGCUCGCGGCCCAUCAGCUUGUUGGAGGGGUGAUGGCCUACCAAGGCGGUGACGGGUAGCCGGCCUGAGAGGGUGGACGGUCACACUGGGACUGAGACACGGCCCAGACUCCUACGAGAGGCAGCAGUGGGGAAUAUUGCACAAUGGGCGCAAGCCUGAUGCAGCGACGCCGCGUGAGGGAUGGAGGCCUUCGGGUUGUGAACCUCUUUCGCCAGUGAAGCAGGCCUGCCUCGUUUGUGGGUGGGUUGACGGUAGCUGGAGAAGAAGCGCCGGCUAACUACGUG